GCACCAGCAGCACCCCGAGGCGCUUGAGGGAAAUGCAGAUUCUCGGCCUGCACCCAGACCUGCUGCAUCAGAAACUCCGAGCUUUAUCCGGCCCUUCUGAAGCUCCUGGCAGUUUGAGAACCUCUGUUCAAGCAGCCCUGAGUCAUCCAAAGCCGAAGCUGACACAAAGAAGAGUGAAGACUUAAAUCUGAGGCAUGAUCUUACUUCUUCAAACCACAGAAGGCUCUCCCCUUGACUCCUGUACAGAAAUGAACCCAGGAAGAACCACUGGCAAAAGUGAAAAUUGGCCAGGGCACAAGUCACUGCCCGGGCCAGAACUAGGAACAGGAAGUUCACAGCCUUUUACCUGAAUUGUGGACUAUUCUUCCCCUACUAGAGAGACACUGAUGACUCUAUAUUCUACCAGGGAGACACCCUGACCUACCCACCUCUGAAUGGCUGCAGGAAAGAAGAAAUAACCUACCCCCUCCCCAAGACUGGUGAAACCAGGAGAUAGUUU